rnacentral:rRNA from 1 species
GAGUUUGAUCAUGGCUCAAAUUGAACGCUGGCGGUAUGCUUAACACAUGCAAGUCGAACGGCAGCAUGCUUGAUCUUCGGAUCUUGUGAUGGCGAGUGGCGGACGGGUGAGUAACACGUAGGAAUCUGCCUUGAAGUGGGGGAUAGCCUGGGGAAACCUAGGGUAAUACCGCAUAAUCUCUAAGGAGGAAAACUGGGGACCUUUGGGCCUGGUGCUUUAAGAUGAGCCUGCGUCAGAUUAGCUUGUUGGUGGGGUAAUGGCCUACCAAGGCAACGAUCUGUAGCUGAUUUGAGAGAAUGAUCAGCCACACUGGGACUGAGACACGGCCCAGACUCCUACGGGAGGCAGCAGUGGGGAAUCUUGGACAAUGGGCGAAAGCCUGAUCCAGCAAUACCGCGUGUGUGAUGAAUGCCUUAGGGUUGUAAAGCACUUUCAGUUGUGAAGAAAUGGACAUGGUUAAUACCCAUGUCAGCUGACGUUAACAACAGAAGAAGCACCGGCUAACUCUGUGCCAGCAGCCGCGGUAAUACAGAGGGUGCAAGCGUUAAUCGGAAUUACUGGGCGUAAAGAGUGCGUAGGUGGUUUGUUAAGUCAUGUGUGAAAUGCCUGAGCUCAACUCAGGAACUGCAUGUGAUACUGACAAUCUAGAGUAUAGUAGAGGGAAGUGGAAUUUCCGGUGUAGCGGUGAAAUGCAUAGAUAUCGGAAGGAACAUCAGAUGCGAAGGCGACUUCUUGGGCUAUUACUGACACUGAGGCGCGAAAGCGUGGGUAGCAAACAGGAUUAGAUACCCUGGUAGUCCACGCUGUAAACGAUGAGAACUAGGUGCGAGGUGUAAACUUCGUACCGUAGCUAACGCAUUAAGUUCUCCGCCUGGGGAGUACGGCCGCAAGGCUAAAACUCAAAGGAAUUGACGGGGGCCCGCACAAGCGGUGGAGCAUGUGGUUUAAUUCGAUGCAACGCGAAAAACCUUACCUACCCUUGACAUCCCUGAAAGUGCCUAGAGAUAGGCAUGUGCCUUCGGGAAUCAGGUGACAGGUGCUGCUUGGCUGUCGUCAGCUCGUGUCGUGAGAUGUUAGGUUAAGUCCUGUAACGAGCGCAACCCCUAUACUUAGUUGCCAGCACAUUAUGGUGGGGACUCUAAGUAAACUGCCGGUAACAAACCGGAGGAAGGUGGGGACGACGUCAAGUCAUCAUGGCCCUUAUGGGUAGGGCUACACACGUGCUACAAUGGGCAGUACAGUUGGAUGCAAUCCCGCGAGGGGGAGCCAACCCACAAAGCUGCUCUCAGUCCGGAUUGAAGUCUGCAACUCGACUUCAUGAAGUCGGAAUCGCUAGUAAUCGCGAAUCAGCAUGUCGCGGUGAAUACGUUCCCGGGCCUUGUACACACCGCCCGUCACACCAUGGGAGUAGGUUGUACCAGAAGCGGGUAGACUAACCGAAAGGAGGUCGCCCACCACGGUAUGUUCUAUGACUGGGGUGAAGUCGUAACAAGGUAACC